UCGAAAUCUCUACGAGAUAACA
rnacentral:miRNA from 1 species